CGCAUUAAAGUUGAAAAACAAUUGAUCAACAAUCGAUUGUCUUUGGCUAACAAUCGAUUGUCUUGAAACAGUGUGUUCUGGAAUUUUUCAAAAAAAAGCCAACAAUCGAUCGUCUUUGUCUAACAAUCGAUUGUCUUGAAACAGUGAGGUCUCAAAUUUUUCAAAAAUCACCCACAAUCGAUUGUCUAUAUCUAACAAUCGAUUGUCGUUAGACAGU
rnacentral:lncRNA from 1 species